rnacentral:rRNA from 1 species
AUUGAACGCUGGCGGCAUGCCUUACACAUGCAAGUCGAACGGCAGCACGGGUGCUUGCACCUGGUGGCGAGUGGCGAACGGGUGAGUAAUAUAUCGGAACGUACCUUAUUGUGGGGGAUAACGCAGCGAAAGCUGUGCUAAUACCGCAUAAUCCCUAAGGGGGAAAGCGGGGGACCGUAAGGCCUCGCGCAAUUAGAGCGGCCGAUACCUGAUUAGCUAGUUGGUGAGGUAAAGGCUCACCAAGGCAACGAUCAGUAGCUGGUCUGAGAGGACGAUCAGCCACACUGGGACUGAGACACGGCCCAGACUCCUACGGGAGGCAGCAGUGGGGAAUUUUGGACAAUGGGGGCAACCCUGAUCCAGCAAUGCCGCGUGAGUGAAGAAGGCCUUCGGGUUGUAAAGCUCUUUUGUCAGGGAAGAAACAGCAGCUCUAACACAGUUUGCGAAUGACGGUACCUGAAGAAUAAGCACCGGCUAACUACGUGCCAGCAGCCGCAGUAAUAC